CUCUCAGCUAUUUGCAGAUCUAAAGAUCUGUUGUACCGUGUGGUUGUGAACCGGGACUCUGAACGUUGUGCAGAGCUGGGACCAAAAGCUGCCUGAGUCUCAGAAUCUGGAGUGUUUUACCAAUUAUCUUCAUAUCCAAAACCUGAAGAUAUACAGUGGGAAAGCCCUUUUUUGUCUAGUACAUGCAUGUGAGCCUUUUGUACCAGAUUGGUCAUAGCAGCUGCAGAGCUCUUCCCCAGAUCCACAAACCCACAGGACUGGUAAUGGAGUGCUCCCUUAUUGUAAGGGAAAGAGCUGUCUGUAAGGCUGUUUGGGAGACACAGGAAGGAGUGAAGCAAGAAAGCAGCUGGCCUCACUGCGCUGAAACACCCAAAUUGGACCCUUGGGGGCUGGAUUGGUGCACAGACUAA
rnacentral:lncRNA from 1 species